GAGGAGCGAAAGCGUGGGGAGCGAACAGGAUUAGAUAGCCUGGUAGUCCACGCCGUAAACGGUGGGCACUAGUUGUGGGAACCUUCCACGGUUUCUGCGACGCAGCUAACGCAUUAAGUGCCCCGCCUGGGGAGUACGAUCGCAAGAUUAAAACUCAAAGGAAUUGACGGGGCCCCGCACAAGCAGCGGAGCAUGCGGCUUAAUUCGACGCAACGCGAAGAACCUUACCAAGGCUUGACAUAUACAGGAAUAUGGCAGAAAUGUCAUAGCCGCAAGGUCUGUAUACAGGUGGUGCAUGGUUGUCGUCAGCUCGUGUCGUGAGAUGUUGGGUUAAGUCCCGCAACGAGCGCAACCCUCGUUCUGUGUUGCCAGCAUUUAGUUGGGGACUCACAGGAGACUGCCGGGGUUAACUCGGAGGAAGGUGGGGAUGACGUCAAAUCAUCAUGCCCCUUAUGUCUUGGGCUGCACGCAUGCUACAAUGGCUGGUACAAACGGCUGCGAUACCGCAAGGUGGAGCGAAUCCGAUAAAGCCAGUCUCAGUUCGGAUUGGGGUCUGCAACUCGACCCCAUGAAGUCGGAGUUGCUAGUAAUCGUAGAUCAGCAACGCUACGGUGAAUACGUUCCCGGGGCUUGUACACACCGCCCGUCACGUCACGAAAGUCGGUAACACCCGAAGUCAGUGGCCCAACCGUAAGGGGGGAGCUGC
rnacentral:rRNA from 1 species